rnacentral:rRNA from 1 species
ACGGGAGGCAGCAGUAAGGAAUUUUCGGCAAUGGGGGAAACCCUGACCGAGCAACGCCGCGUGAGUGUAGAAGGUCUUCGGAUUGUAAAGCUCUGUUGUAGAGGAAGAAUGCUAAGUAUAGGAAAUGAUAUUUAGUUGACGGUACUCUACUAGAAAGUCACGGCUUACUACGUGCCAGCAGCCGCGGUAAUACGUAGGUGGCAAGCGUUAUCCGGAUUUAUUGGGCGUAAAGGGUGCGCAGGCGGUUUGUUAAGUUUGAUGUGAAAGCGUUGAGCUCAACUCAAUACAGCAUCGAAUACUGGCAAACUAGAGUGCAGAAGGGGGUAAUGGAACUCCAUGUGUAGCGGUAAAAUGCGUAGAUAUAUGGAAGAACACCAGAGGCGAAGGCGAUUACCUGGUCUGUAACUGACGCUCAUGCACGAAAGCGUGGGGAGCAAACAGGAUUAGAUACCCUGGUA